rnacentral:rRNA from 1 species
AACGAACGCUGGCGGCAUGCCUAACACAUGCAAGUCGAACGAAGCCUUCGGGCUUAGUGGCGCACGGGUGCGUAACGCGUGGGAAUCUGCCCUUGGGUUCGGAAUAACAGUUAGAAAUGACUGCUAAUACCGAAUGAUGUCUUCGGACCAAAGGAUUUAUCGCCCAAAGGAUGAGCCCGCGUCGGAUUAGCUGGUUGGUGAGGUAAAGGCUCACCAAGGCGACGAUCCGUAGCUGGUCUGAGAGGAUGAUCAGCCACACUGGGACUGAGACACGGCCCAGACUCCUACGGGAGGCAGCAGUGGGGAAUAUUGGACAAUGGGCGAAAGCCUGAUCCAGGCAAUGCCGCGUGAGUGAUGAAGGCCUUAGGG